rnacentral:rRNA from 1 species
CCUACGGGAGGCAGCAGUGAGGAAUAUUGGUCAAUGGACGAAAGUCUGAACCAGCCAAGUCGCGUGAGGGAUGACGGCCCUAUGGAUUGUAAACCGCUUUUAUGCGGGGGCAAAAUGCGUCACGUGUACCUCCUCGCGAGUACCCGGUGAACAAGGAUCGGCUAACUCCGUGCCAGCAGCCGCGGUAAUCCGGAAGGUGCGUGCGUUAUCCGGAUUUAUUGGGUUUAAAGGGUGGGCUGGCCGGCCAUUAAGCGUGCUGUUAAAUGUCGGGGCUCAACCCGGGCACAGCCUUGCGAACUGGGGUGCUAGAGUGGGCGAGAAGUAGGCGGAAGGCGUGGUGUAGCGGUGAAAUGCUUAGAUAUCACGAAGAACUCCGAUUGCGAAGGCAGCAUACCGUAGCGUAACUGACGCUGAGGCACGAAGGCGUGGGUAUCGAACAGGAUUAGAUACCCGGGUAGUC